rfam:Yokenella regensburgei ATCC 43003 genomic scaffold Scfld157, whole genome shotgun sequence.
GCCACAUCAGAUUUUCUGGUGUAACGAAUUUUAAGUGCUUCUUGCAUAUGCAAGCUUCAUCCCGGGCCGAACGGCGCCGGGAUUU